rnacentral:misc_RNA from 1 species
CGUGGGGGUGGAUUACCUCCUUUCUAUGGAGUAUAUUAAUACACUAACACGAUAUACACCUGUUACAUAUAACGGUGAAACAAUUAAAACCCAGCAAGAAAAGUUAAACCCAUAAAAGCAAAUUGAUAACUUAAAAAUUGUUGGUCGGAUUCUAUUCAGUUCUCAAGGGGUAUUUUAAAAGCAGUUAUUAAGUUUUUUCUUUAAAGCUUUUUAACUUAAUAACACUUUAAGUUAACCUUGUAAACAUCAUUAAGUUUACCUUUCAAAGAUCCAAGAACAUUUAUUAAAACCUUUUUGGUCAAAUAACUAAUAAACUAACUAACUAGAUCAUUGAUGCAUAAUUAACUGCAU